rnacentral:rRNA from 1 species
GGCCUACCAUGGUGGUAACGGGUAACGGGGUGUUAGGGCACGACACCGGAGAGGGAGCCUGAGAAACGGCUACCACAUUCAAGGAUGGCAGCAGGCGCGCAAAUUACCCAAUCCCGACACGGGGAGGUAGUGACAAUAAAUAACAAUACGGGGUUCUUUCGGAUUUCGUAAUUGGAAUGAGUACAAUUUAAAUCUCUUAACGAGGAACAAUUGGAGGGCAAGUCUGGUGCCAGCAGCCGCGGUAAUUCCAGCUCCAAUAGCGUAUAUUAAAGUUGUUGCAGUUAAAAAGCUCGUAGUUGAAUUUCGGGAUCGACGGGUCGGUCGCGCCUCUGGUGUGUACUGGCCCUGUCGGUUUCUCCCUUCUGACGAACCACGAUGUCAUUAAUUUGGUGUCGUGGGAAAUCAGGACUGUUACUUUGAAAAAAUUAGAGUGUUUAAAGCAGGCAUUCGCUUGAAUACAUUAGCAUGGAAUAAUGAAAUAGGACGUUUGAUCUUAUUUUGUUGGUUUCUAAGAUCGACGUAAUGAUUAAUAGGGAUAGUUGGGGGCAUUAGUAUUCAAUUGUCAGAGGUGAAAUUCUUGGAUUUAUUGAAGACUAACUACUGCGAAAGCAUUUGCCAAGGAUGUUUUCAUUAAUCAAGAACGAAAGUUAGGGGAUCGAAGACGAUCAGAUACCGUCGUAGUCUUAACCAUAAACUAUGCCGACUAGGGAUCGGAUGAUGUUAAUUUUUUAAUGACUCAUUCGGCGCCUUACG